AAAYGACUCUCGGCAACGGAUAUCUCGGCUCUUGCAUCGAUGAAGAACGUAGCAAAAUGCGAUACGUGGUGUGAAUUGCAGAAUUCCGUGAACCAUCGAGUUUUUGAACGCAAGUUGCGCCCAAUGUCAUUUUGGCUGAGGGCRUGUCUGCCUGGGCGUCACGC
rnacentral:rRNA from 1 species